rnacentral:rRNA from 1 species
UACGUAGGUGACCAGCGUUGUCCGGAUUUACUGGGCGUAAAGAGCGCGCAGGCGGUCGUUCAAGUCGAGUGUGAAAGCCCCCGGCUCAACUGGGGAGGGUCAUUCGAUACUGAUCGACUUGAAGGCAGGAGAGGGAAGUGGAAUUCCCGGUGUAGUGGUGAAAUGCGUAGAUAUCGGGAGGAACACCAGUGGCGAAGGCGACUUCCUGGCCUGUUCUUGACGCUGAGGCGCGAAAGCUAGGGUAGCAAACGGG